UACGUAGGGUGCGAGCGUUGUCCGGAAUUAUUGGGCGUAAAGGGCUCGUAGGCGGUUUGUCGCGUCGGGAGUGAAAACCUUGGGCUUAACUCAGGGCUUGCUUUCGAUACGGGCAGACUAGAGGUAUGCAGGGGAGAACGGAAUUCCUGGUGUAGCGGUGAAAUGCGCAGAUAUCAGGAGGAACACCGGUGGCGAAGGCAGGUCUCUGGGCCACUACUGACGCUGAGAAGCGAAAGCGUGGGGAGCGAACAGG
rnacentral:rRNA from 1 species